CUCUGAAUAAGGCCUCUGUUUUCUGCGUCUUUUUUUCUUCUACUAUGAAGUGGGAAUUGCGGAGCAGUCAUUUCUGAAUGAAGACAUUUCCAUUCAACAUUUUGGCUUGCCUGUAGUUCAUUGAGUGAAGAGGAAUUUUCCUUGGCCACCUAUAACAUAUAUAAUUAGAUAAUGCAUCUUUGCAAUCACCUGAGCCUGGGGAAACCUCAUAUCUCAGCAUACAUGACCUGAUUCUCAACCUCAUAGUCUACAUCCAUGCUAAGGAUCACCAGCCCCACUGUCAGCUCUGGGCACUCAGCUCAGCCUUGCUGACUCCUGUUGCCUUCUCUCCACUCUGGGAAUUGAUUUCCCUGCCAAGGCAACCCAAGAUGAUGAGGCAGAAGCUAUGGCAGCAUUGUUCUCAUCUUGCACUCUAUCUACUUCUGCUACUGUUAAACAAAUCCUUCUGAUGCUGGACCAGAGAAGAAGCCCCUGAGAUGUAAUACAAAGCUCAUUCUGCUGUACGUAUUCCUGCCUCCCCAAAGGCUGACUGGGACGUCUUCAUCCAAAGGAAAAUGUAUUUACAUGGAAGAUGAAAGUCAAGGGAUGUUUUCCAGCCACUUCAGGCACUGAGCUGCUGGUGCACGGUUUAAGAAGUUGCCCUUGAGGGCUUUUGGACCUUGUCCUCCUUUUCCUCCACUGCCAGGAAUUGCUGCAGAACAUGAACCCCCUAAUGCAAGAGGUUGGUGAAACACGAUGGGAAAUGCAGCUUUGGUGCCGUGCCUGGAUAGCAGCAAGGGUGUUAAUAAGCAUCUUUAAUACAUACAAAACUCUCCCUCAAGUUGUGUCUUUUUACUCUGCAGUGAAAAUUGCUUCUGAGGAGCUAUUAUUUGCUAUUCACUUACUGUCAUUCUUGGAUCUCAAUAACACUGCUUUUCAGCAGCCAGAUACUGCUGAAAGCCACGAGCUGGACUGCUUCUCAUAAAUGCCUUCAGCGUCUGCUCCUCGAACAAAAUUGGCAGCCCCUUUUUGGCUGAGGGCUGGCCUGCUUGUCAUCCCCAAAAGCUUCAGGUUUGAUGAUGCUGUGAGGUGUGACAAGGAGAUGGUGAUACUCAGGGACCUGGGGAGAAAAGCGACCAGAAUGGAAGUCUCUGAGAUGUGAGCUCACGUGGCUGUGAGGUUGGGAAGAUGGAAUAUGCUAUGAAGUCUGUGUGCCAUCCUCUCUGAUGUACUAAAGGGUGACAGUCAUCCUCUGGAAGAUCUCAGCCUUCAGCCUUUUGCUUCCUCAGUACGUGUGGACCAAUUGCCCAGAGUAUGGACCAGUGGCUGCAGCAGGGAAAUUCAUCUCAGCACCAGAUCCCUCAUCCCUCCUGCUGGGUAAGUCCUAAUUAAAUCCUUGCAUCAAUAUAAUUAAUUGUUAAUAUGAGAAUUACAUAUUAGUCUGCAUUAUAAUCAAUAUUGCUUAAAUAUUAACAAGCUUGUUAGCUAUUCACUAACCUUUUAAGCCCUUCCAAAUCCUCUUUAUCACGCUGCAUGUUUGUGUUAAAUCUCUCUCAAGUGACCUUAAGUGAGUAUGCUUUUACUUGCUGUUAAAUACACUGCAAACUCUCCAUCCAUUCAGCUAUUUGGCUGCUUUGGCUAUUAUCUCCCUUUCUGUUUGCACUGAUUUAACUGUAGUGGAGACAUCUCAGUGUUGAUACGAAGCCUGCCUGUGGUGCAGUGAUGGGCUGUCUUCUGCUGUGUCCUCAGUGUCUCCUUUAUUUAGUUAGGCCAGCUUCUUUGGCUGGCUGGAAGUGCCAGAAGCCCCCUGGCAGCUCCUUUGGUUCAGUAUUUGCAUCUCUGGUCUACAGGGAUUGCUGGCUGAAAGCUCCGCAGUUCACCUGCUUAAAGGCAUGCUAAUGCUUUCUGCUGCUGCCUCCUUUCUGUUAGCAUGCACUGAUGCAAGGAAGGAAGCCACCAUCUGAACACUGGGGCAGUCAGUACAUCAGUGCUGCCCGGUUGAUGGCUUUGUUCCCAGUUUGUCCAACUUCCAGUUUGAUUGGUCUGCUGGGUUUGCAGAAUUAAGCAGAUUUGGAGAAUGCUCACUGGUGAGCCCUAACAUAUUUCCCAUAAAAUAUCAUAACCAUUUAUACAGUUUGGCCAAAGCAAUUCCCUUUGCACUGUGAAUUUGUUCAAGAAAUAGAACCCCCAUGUUUCAAGCCAGCCGGCCACUGGUAAUGGGGGAUGGCACAGGGCUGCACACCCCAGACCUUGUCCUUUCUGGGUCCCAGCUGCUCUGAUAUUUCCUCUCCAAAAUCCCUGACUUCUCUCGGGGACCAUUUAGUAAGGUUCUUAACUUUAAUUUCUUGUAAACAGAGUUUGGAGAAUAAACCGUGCAAUGAAUUUAUCAUUUCUGCUCGUAGCACAUGAAUACAUAGCAUGCAGCUUUCUUGCUGGUAUUCCUGGGACCAAAUGAGAAAAGUGCUUUGGAGAGGUGGGAUUUUGCUUGUCAUGAAUAUUAAUACAAAAAAAAACCUCAGUGCCUGGAUAGUUCACGGAAUGUAAAUGCAUAAAAGGGGAAAAAGCACAUUUUUCAAACUGCAUUUCUCUGUACCUCUUUCAGUCUCCUUUUGAAGUUCUAGAAAACGUGAUGCUCUUUCAUAGCACAUUCCUCUGCAGAGCAGGGCUGUGCUGCUUUGCUCACUCCACCAUUCUCAGGGCAGCUGAUGGGACGUGGCUGUGCCCCACAGCACUCUACAAAGCUCCUCACACUAUGCUGCCACUGGUGCUGACCAGAACAUGCACAGAUGUGAUGCUCAGCACCAGGAGAACACUUCCUUCUGCAUCACAGGACCUUAGGAGCAUUGCAUUGCAUCUAAAUAUGCAAAAUGUAAGUAAGUAUAUCAUUGCAUUUCCACUUACCUUUCCUAUCUGACUCAAUAAGUAGUACAAUGAGAAAUGGAAAUUAUGGUUAAUGUUAUUUCCUUAGCAUUAAGGAAUUCUACUUGCAUUCCUAGGAGAUGUUAGAACACUGCAUGGGAAGGGUGAAGCAAUUCCUGGAUAAAGAGCCAGCAGUAAAGUUGUAAUGAGACAAAUUUUUAAGGCAGGGCUGUUUUACCAAAGUUGAAAUGAGUUUUACACAGUGGUUGGUAGGGAAAUAUAGCAGUAUUGCCGUGAAAGAUACUCCAUCUUUUCAUGGAGAAGGCAAAAUAGUUUAAAUCAGCACCAUUUUCCAAUUUAAGCAGAGGAAAACAGCCCAAAGAGAUGACAAGUGGGUUACCAUUCCCACAAACAUUACAUGUAGUGACCAUCUCGUGCCAGCAUUUGGUGCUCUGUGACAGAUAUCAUCAUCUAAGUGGUCCAUCAUCACACUACGUUGCAAGAACCACCCUGCAAAAGUAGCAAUUUCUCACAUUAGUUUUAGAAACAUGUUAAUAUUGAUAGUAUUUCAAAUGAAGCACCACUGAUAAGGAGUCACAUGUACAGGUUGUUGUCAGAAAUUCCCAUUUCCUAAGUUCAUUCCCUUGAGAUAUACUUGAAGUUUUGCCUUUUGACUCUGUCAAACUUCAGAAGUUUUAUGGCAAAAUUGCUUCUUUGGAUGGUUUCACUGUUAACACAGCAGAAAAGCAACAAAAUGUUUGGGGUAUCCAAAAGAUCAGGCAAGUAUUUCACUGAGUGUACAACAAAAUAUUAUGAGGUAAUUUUAUUUUUUUUUUCUGGUUUUAGGUAAAAAUAUGACAGUAUACAAGAUAAUCUUAUUAAAGGUAAAAAUACAGUAUUCUGCUUUUUCUCUAAACAGAUCUACGUACAGUACACUUUUUUAUUUUGUCUUUUUUUUUUCUCAACGUUUUUGUACAAAUAUAACUAUGAUUCUAUUAGGCUAUCUGUGUUCUCAUCUGGCACUUAAGAACUGAUCACGGGUCACCUUCUGCUUCUGCUUGUUUUUCUCAGCUGAUACCUAAACGCAAUGGUCAUCUCGUAGGUGUACCUUGUGAACAAACAGUACAGUUCAGCGGUUCCCAAGUUGUAAGGUGUGCUUUAAAUAUUGAAAUCAUGUAGCUAAACGUAGAAACCCAAGCAAUCCAAGUCUUCAGUUACUUUGCAUCGACUCGUUGCUUACCCUUUGUAAAAGUGCAGUCUGAGUGUUUGUAUUACAACCUUGGAAGUGGUUUUAAUACCUUCCAGGUUCUCCAGAAGAGCCAAACACAUAACUCAGAACAAUCAUCUCUUCAACAAUUCAUUCUUCUUUUUAUUUUUUAUUUGUCCUCAUUGGAAAUGAAGCCUUUUCCUACGGUUUCAAAGAUUUGAAACUCCUGGGGUGUGUUUUUCAUAGUUUACCUCAUGCUAUGGCUUGCUGUUUGAACUCUGGAACCCAAAAGCAGAGCAGCUGAGUUGAGUUGCUGUCAUCAAUUAGUGCUGUUCCUUGUCCUGAACACAUAAGCACAAAAUAUGUUACUUCUGCUGUGGAUUUUCACUGAAUAUUUCUUUACGCUGCUGUUGUAGCUGGGAUCAUCUAUGGACAAAAGAGAGGUUUGGUACGUGUUUGAAGGGACCAUAGCUGGUAGUGGGUUGGCUAAAACAGCUGGAAAAGGCAGAGAGGAGUUUUUGGCUUGGAAUCCCUUUAUCAGGUUCCAGCGAAGGGAUGAAGGACCCUUUACCCAACAAGCUUGGUUCAUGGUUCCAACUCUCUCAUCGUCAUGAAAAGUAUCUGACAAUUGGCCUUUCAGCAGAUGAUUUCUCAUAUGGUUUUCAUUAACCACGUGCUGUUCAAAGUUACCUCUGUGGAUGCCCACGUAAACACAAAAGGAGAGUGCACACCCAAGGACAGGAUUCUUUUAAAUUCUCAAGGAAUAUACUUGGCACGUUAUUCCUUCAGCCUUCACCAACUCCUGGUCAGUACAGAGUUAAGGUAAAUGAGCACAGUUCGCUGCAGACAUGUGGAUGAAGAUCUGGCUUUUUUGCCUUUAACUAAAAGGUGCGUUCCCUACAGUUCAUUUAUUUCUGAUGUUGAAGGGCUUAUGCUUUUACCGGUAAGUUAUUUUGUGUCAUAAAAGAUUUAACUGGAAAUUCACCAAACACAGGAGUAAUGCAAAGUGCUCCAACUGACACCUGCCAAUUCAUAGAAGAUGAGUGCCUGGUCCCCAUUUUUUGC